rnacentral:rRNA from 1 species
CUACGGGACGCACCAGUGAGGAAUAUUGGUCAAUGGGCGCGAGCCUGAACCAGCCAUCCCGCGUGCAGGAUGACGGCCUUAUGGGUUGUAAACUGCUUUUCUAUGCCAAGAAACCUGAUUACGUGUAAUCAGUUGCCGGUAGCAUAGGAGUAAGCAUCGGCUAACUCCGUGCCAGCAGCCGCGGUAAUACGGAGGAUGCAAGCGUUAUCCGGAUUCAUUGGGUUUAAAGGGUGCGCAGGUGGGCUUGUAAGUCAGUGGUGAAAUGCUGCCGCUUAACGGUAGAACUGCCAUUGAUACUGCGAGUCUUGAGUAUGGUUGAGGUAGGCGGAAUGUGUUGUGUAGCGGUGAAAUGCAUAGAUAUGACACAGAACGCCAAUUGCGAAGGCAGCUUACUAAGCCAUUACUGACGCUGAGGCACGAAAGCGUGGGGAGCGAACAGGAUUAGAUACCCGAGUAGUC